UACGAAGGGGGCUAGCGUUGCUCGGAAUCACUGGGCGUAAAGGGUGCGUAGGCGGGUCUUUAAGUCAGGGAUGAAAUCCUGGAGCUCAACUCCAGAACUGCCUUUGAUACUGAGGAUCUUGAGUUCGGGAGAGGUGAGUGGAACUGCGAGUGUAGAGGUGAAAAUUCGUAGAUAUUCGCAAGAACACCAGUGGCGAAGGCGGCUCACUGGCCCGAUACUGACGCUGAGGCACGAAAGCGUGGG
rnacentral:rRNA from 1 species